rnacentral:siRNA from 1 species
UUGAAUUGUGAAGAUCCGUUCUU